GGGCCGCUAGCUCAACUGGUAGAGCAGGUCCCUCUUAAGGACAAGGUUGCGAGUUCGAUUCUCGCGCGGCCCA
rnacentral:tRNA from 1 species